CAGCAGAUGGGGGCUGCUGCUGGUGUCGCCGAAGAGGAUGCCGCCAUCCUCGUGUCCUGUUGCUCGAUGGCAACUACGGCGGCGAGCAUAGAGGGAGCAUGGCAACAACGUGUGGUGACGAAGAGGAAGAUGGAUGAUAAAUUUGGUGAGAGGUGUGUGUCUCGGAGUAGGGUGCCAUGCCUGCCGGAUUAGCGGAUGGGUACUUCUCGUAAGCAAUGGCCUGGAAGAGGGCUCGGUACACGAACAGGACGAAUGGCGAACCAUUGUAGAAAACGUUGAAUGACAUCAACGCCGACCUCCCUAAGCUCCUGGUGGUGGUCUUCCGGGAGCAAAAGUAGGUGUCUUCCGGGAGAAGGUGGAGGGACAACUGGACCGUGAUGCUUGUUUAGUUCAAGCUUCCACCAGGGUUUGGAUCUCCGAUGUAGUCCUUGAUGAUGCACCUGAAACUCUCUACGUCGCCUGUGUCGCAGCAGAUGUUAGACACCUAUCUUGCUCCUCGCACUGUAUAACGACUCCAUGAAGCUUUGCAUCCUCAUGAUUACGAUCUGGCAUGUCUUGCUGGGGGUAGAUUUAUGGAUAUAGAAAAGAGGUACUCAUAAGAUGGUGGAGUCGGCAAGCUACAUAUAGAAGAGAGAUUGGUGGAGCUAGUGAAGCUGAAGUUGGUGAGAAAAAAGAUAGGGUCACAAAUGCUCUAAAUGUUGGAAGAGCUGUUGUUAAGGAGGGUAUUGUCCUAGGCUGAUGACCAAAGCUGCAAUUGAUGGCAUUGAUGGUCAGCUCCUCUCUGACCUUGAUCAGUUUUGAAACACGCGAGGGUCUUUGUUACCAAAUAGCUUCUCUUCUCAAAACAGUGGGAUUUGAGGCGGUCAAUGUGUGCGACGAGUUCAUGCCGCAACAGUGGUGGUGAUGAUGCUCGGUCUCGUCUACAACUUCUCCAGUGAGCUACUGGUUUACCCUUUCGAUCUCUGGUUCGCAUCUGCUCUGUGAUUACCUGUAUUUGAAUUAUGGUGAUGAUGAUCAAUGGCCACCUAUUUUCUAAGCGAAAUGUCAACAUCUGGGCAUGGUUAUUGUCCUGGUGCUAGUAUUUUCUAGUAAUAGAUGAUUUUGUGUUGUAGGCUGAAAAUGCUGUCAUUUAGUUGUGAAUAGCACUGUUUGGUAUUGUGUGGCUUUGACAUUUGAUUGAUUUAGAUCACUGUAUAAUUGGCUUGCUGCAAAUAUCUUGCUUUUCGGACGAGAAUCUUGUU